UACGUAGGGAGCAAGCGUUGUCCGGAUUUACUGGGCGUAAAGAGCGCGCAGGCGGUCGUUCAAGUCGCGUGUGAAAGCCCCCGGCUCAACUGGGGAGGGUCACGCGAUACUGAUCGACUCGAAGGCAGGAGAGGGUAGUGGAAUUCCCGGUGUAGUGGUGAAAUGCGUUGAUAUCAUCAGGAACACCAGUGGCGAAGGCGACCCACUGGGUCAUUUCUGACGCUGAGGUACGAAAGCUAGGGUAGCGAACGGG
rnacentral:rRNA from 1 species